GCUGGUGUGGCUCAAUGGACAGAGCAUCAGCCUGUGAGCUGAAGGGUCCCGGGUUCGAUUCCAGUCAAGAGCA
rnacentral:tRNA from 1 species